rnacentral:rRNA from 1 species
GAACGAACGCUGGCGGCAGGCCUAACACAUGCAAGUCGAGCGAUCCUUUCGGGGAUAGCGGCGGACGGGUGAGUAACGCGUGGGAACGUACCCUUUGCUACGGAAUAGCCUCGGGAAACUGGGAGUAAUACCGUAUGUGCCCUUCGGGGGAAAGAUUUAUCGGCAAAGGAUCGGCCCGCGUUGGAUUAGGUAGUUGGUGGGGUAAUGGCCUACCAAGCCGACGAUCCAUAGCUGGUUUGAGAGGAUGAUCAGCCACACUGGGACUGAGACACGGCCCAGACUCCUACGGGAGGCAGCAGUGGGGAAUCUUAGACAAUGGGGGCAACCCUGAUCUAGCCAUGCCGCGUGAGUGAUGAAGGCCCUAGGGUUGUAAAGCUCUUUCAGCUGGGAAGAUAAUGACGGUACCAGCAGAAGAAGCCCCGGCUAACUCCGUG